rnacentral:rRNA from 1 species
GAUAUUGGUCAAUAGCCUAACGGCUGAACCAGCAACUUGGAAGAAUGUAUAGCAAUAGCUAAUUGCAUCAACAAACUGUUGAUGCAAUAUCGACUCUGUCGAAUAAAGUUCUAGGUAGAAUUAUGAUAAUGACAUUGUCUGCCUAUGUGUCUUGACCAAAUUACGUGCCAGCUGUCGCGGUAAUACGUAGAAGACUAGUGUUAUUCAUCUUUAGUAGGUUUAAAGGGUACCUAGACGGUAAAUCAAGCCAUGUAAUGGGACUAAUUUACUAGAGUUAAUUGUGAGGGGGCUUUAAGGUACUGCUGGUGUAGAGAUGAAAUUCUUUGAUACCUCUUUUCGAAAGAAAAAUCACGGCACAGAUAUAGGUAAAAACAUCCCCUUAUGUAAUAACUGACGUUGAAGGACGAAGGCUUUUGGUCGCGAACAGGAUUAGAUACCCUAAUAGUAAAAGCAGAAAACGAUGAAUGUCAUAGAUUAGACAUAUGAUUUAUUCUAUAAACGAAAGUGUAAGCAUUCCCCCUCAAGAGUAAUUUGGCAACAUUGGAACUGAAAUCAUUAGACCGUUUCUGAAACCAGUAGUGAAGUAUGUUGUUUAAUUUGAUAACCCUCAAAAAACCUUACCACAAUUUGAAUAUAUA